rnacentral:rRNA from 1 species
UACGUAGGGGGCAAGCGUUGUCCGGAUUUAUUGGGCGGAAAGAGCGUGUAGGCGGCCAGGUAGGUCCGUUGUGAAAACUCGAGGCUCAACCUCGAGACGCCGAUGGAAACCAUCUGGCUAGAGUCCGGAAGAGGAGAGUGGAAUUCCCGGUGUAGCGGUGAAAUGCGCAGAUAUCGGGAAGAACACCCGUGGCUAAGGCGGCUCUCUAGUACGGUACUGACGCUGAGACGCGAAAGCGUGGGGAGCGAACAGG